rnacentral:ncRNA from 1 species
UCGCUGACAGGUGAUGAGGCUCACCUUCAACCGCCAUACGGCUAAUGGCUUCUACCCACUG